rnacentral:rRNA from 1 species
UACAGAGGUCUCAAGCGUUUGUUCGGAUUCAUUGGGGCGUAAAGGGCGCGUAGGCGGCGGGGUAAGUCGGGUGUGAAAUCUCAGAGCUCAACUCUGAAACUGCACUCGAUACUGCUCUGCUUGAGGACUGGAGAGGAGACUGGAAUUCACGGUGUAGCAGUGAAAUGCGUAGAUAUCGUGAGGAAGACCAGUGGCGAAGGCGGGUCUCUGGACAGUUCCUGACGCUGGAGGC